rnacentral:rRNA from 1 species
UUAUGGUCUUUAAAUUCAAAGAAUUUGGCGGUAAUUGAGUCUUUUUAGAGGAACCUGUUCCUUAAUUGAUAAUCCACGAUUGAUUUUACUUAAAUGUUAUUUGUAUAUCUCUGUUAUUGAAUGUAUUAUUAGAUUAUUUUCUUAAUUUCUAUAUUGAAAAAAUAGUAGGUCAAGGUGCAGUUUGUAUUUAAGUGGAAAUGGGUUACAUUAAUGUUUUAAUGGAUUUUUAUAUGAAAUAAUAAAAUGAAAUUGGAUUUAAAAGUAAUAUUUAUUAGUUAAUAAAUAUGAUUAUAGCUCUUAAUUAU